rnacentral:lncRNA from 1 species
ACUCCUCCGCAUUCACCUGAUUUGCAUGUGUGGACUCCUGCUGAGUUCCCACAGCUGGGGGCCAGCAAGCAGGUGCCACCGAUGCUGGCUUACUCAGGCACAACUUGCCAGGUGCAAGUUGUUGGAUGUAUGGCAACGGUUCUCUUUGUGUGAGGGCACCUGCUCCACAAGUGAAAUAUUCAUAUAAGUUCCAGGCAGUCUCCAUCUCUCCUGAAGCAAGAUGCCCUAAGCUGUGUCCAGUCCUGUGAACUUAGGAGUGUUGCAUGGAUUGAAAAAGUGAACUCAGGUUUGUCCCAGAUUAUAUUCCUAUUUGUACUGUGAAUUUCUUAUCAUUGUUAUACCUUUCAUGUUAAUAAAACUGAACCAUGGUCCUACAUCCAAAGGUUGUAAGACAUGAGACCUGGAUUCUAAUCCAAACUUGACCCUGGAGCUGCUCAAACUUCAGCUGCAUAUGGCUAGGCUUUUGGAGACAUACAAAUUCGUCUUGGCACAGCCUUGGAAAUUUAAUAGAUCCAAAUGCCGGCAGGUCUUUGAAGCUAGUAACCGAUUGUUAUGGGGCCAUCUGGUGGUGAAGUGUGUGCCAGGCAUGAGUGAAAUACUCGGAAAAAGAGGACGCCUGCCCCACAUGUGCUGGUGAAACACUGCACUGCCAACCGUUCUCUCCUGCAAGUUUCUGGUAAGCAUACAUAAUUUUGCGGCAGGUGUUGCUCUGCCCAACCCACUGCACCUGAUCCUAGAAAGGUGUCCGAAGACACUGAACUUGUGGGGCUCCCCCAGCUGCCAGUGACUGGACAAAGUGAGGUGCGCUGCUGGGUUCUGGUUUGCAGCGUGGCAUGGCUGGGCAGCCCAACCACAGCCCUUCUGCUCUACAGAAGGAGCUCCCGCCUGAGCGCCAGGCAAGAGACAGCAGAUGGGAGAGACAGAUGGAAGGGUGCAGGGAAACAAUGAGAUAAAUGAGCAAAAACUGAGUUGAAGACUUUAGCAGUUGGUUCCUAAAUUGUUAAUUUUACUAAUCAUCUCGGCUGAUGUAACCCUGAGGCAGGACGGCUCUCCGCUCCCAAAGGCCCCAGUGCUUACAGUCCCUGCACGCUGUACUUCUGGCAGCGGGAGUUCAGCAGGCAAGCAGCGGCGAGGCGGGGAGGUAUCUAGAGAAACUCAUUUAGAGAAAGAGAGCGGGGCACGCCAGCACCCCGGGGCUUGGGAGAGCCUCAUUAGCAUGGCUUGGUAGCAAAGCGCUAACAGACAGACACGCAAUUCAGGUUUUUUACGAGCACGGCGCUGCCCGGCAGCCACCGCUCGUGGGCAGCGACGCCCGGGGCGGGCGGGACGUGCCACGCGGCCGCAGAGCUCUCCAGGUACGCCGUGCCACGCGCCUCGGC